UACGGAGGGUGCGAGCGUUGUCCGGAAUCAUUGGGCGUAAAGGGCGCGUAGGUGGCCCGGUCAGCGUGCGGUGAAAGCUCGGGGCUCAACCCCGAGUCGGCCGUGCGAACUGCUGGGCUUGAGCACUGUAGAGGCAGGCGGAAUUCCGGGUGUAGCGGUGGAAUGCGUAGAGAUCCGGAAGAACACCGGUGGCGAAGGCAGCUCGCUGGGACGGUACUGACGCUAAGGCGCGAAAGCGUGGGGAGCGAACAGG
rnacentral:rRNA from 1 species